GACCUAUUGGAGGGCAAGUCUGGUGCCAGCAGCCGCGGUAAUUCCAGCUCCAGUAGCGUAUAUUAAAGUUGUUGCGGUUAAAACGUUCGUAGUUGAACUUGUGCUUCAUACGGAUGGUACACCACCAAAAAUUUGGUAUGUACUUUAUCUUUAAGUAUGUAAGCGUAUUACCGGUGGAGUUCUUAUAUAUUAUGUAAAUUUAUUUUAUAUAAUAUAUUCCUCCUAUAUAAACCUGAUUCAAUGCUCUUUACCGAGUGUUGUUUUGGGCCGGUACAAUUACUUUGAACAAAUUAGAGUGCUUAAAGCAGGCUCUUAAUGCCUGAAUAUUCUGUGCAUGGAAUAAUGGAAUAAGACCUCUGUUCUAAUUUCAUUGGUUUUUAGAUCAAGAGGUAAUGAUUAAUAGAAGCAGUUGGGGGCAUUAGUAUUACGACGCGAGAGGUGAAAUUCUUGGACCGUCGUAAGACUAACUUAAGCGAAAGCAUUUGCCAAAGAUGUUUUCAUUAAUCAAGAACGAAAGUUAGAGGUUCGAAGGCGAUCAGAUACCGCCCUAGUUCUAACCAUAAACGAUGCCAGCCAGCAAUUGGGUGUAGCUACUAUUAUGGCUCUCUCAGUCGCUUCCCGGGAAACCAAAGCUUUUGGGCUCCGGGGGAAGUAUGGUUGCAAAGCUGAAACUUAAAGGAAU
rnacentral:rRNA from 1 species